CACUUUGGCAGCUGUGAACUGCCAGUGAUGUUGAAUUGUCCUGUCUGAUCUCAUUGUAUCAUCUGUUUGCUCACAGAUUGAAACUAUGAAAUCAUAAAGAUGCCUUUUGAAUUUCUGUAACAGUGUGUGUUUGGUGUUGUGAUGUAAACUUCCAACUCCCAAUUUCGUUGUGUCAUCUCUGGCCCUAUUCUGUCCAUACUAUUUGGUACAUGUUCUAGAGUUUUCUUCUUCACAUUACCCUUUUCAAGAGGAUUAAUAACCUGCUUUAUUCCUAAUAUCAAACUUCAUGUGCCUGAAGAACCUGGGAAGUAGUAAUUGGAGCCCAGCCUGUACAUCCUGUGGCAUUUAGACUGUAUAGCAGCCAUACAUUAGUAUGGUACUUCGUUUUCUCAUGUGACAUAAACCAGUCAAGAACAGUGACUUCUAAUUGUUUCAAAUUGUAUAUUAAGGAGAUACAAGACUGUAUAUUCAGUUGUAUAUUAAGGAGAUACAAGACUGAGCCCACUGACAUUUUAAGAUCACUGUAUGGAAGACAGAAAGAUUACUAUUGGUUUGGAUAUAAGAAACAGCAAGGGCAGUUUUGUCCUCUUAUAGGACAGGAAAGCCAUUUACCUAUUGGAAUGAGUCCAGAGGAGAGUUAUUAAGUUGAUUGCAGGGCUGGAACAUCUCUUGAGAAGACUGGGACUGAGGCAGAGAGUUCAAAGACCAGGAUUUUCUCCUUUAUCUUUAUUCAAGCUUAUUGCAACAUAAAUCCCUA